UACGAAUGGGGCAAGCGUUGUUCGGAAUCACUGGGCUUAAAGCGUAUGUAGGCGGAACCGUAAGUCAGGAGUGAAAUCCCGGGGCUCAACCCCGGAACUGCUUCUGAAACUACGGUUCUAGAAUCCUGGAGAGGUUGGGAGAAUUCCGAGUGUAGAGGUGAAAUUCGCAGAUAUUCGGAGGAAUACCAGUGGCGUAGGCGCCCAACUGGACAGGUAUUGACGCUCAGAUACGAAAGCGUGGGGAGCAAACAGG
rnacentral:misc_RNA from 1 species